rnacentral:rRNA from 1 species
AUGGCUACACUCCACAUGUUCCUCGGCCUCCUUUCCAUGCACACUAUUCCUCCUAGCAUAGCCACAAAAGACGAUACGCUCGUGCCAGGCCAGACAUUUGCCGUCGGCGACAAGCUCGUCUCCAGCAAUGGCAAGUUCACGCUUGGCUUCUUCCAGCCCGGUGCCGGCAACACCAGCAAGUCAUCCACCUCUCCACAUUGGUACCUUGCCAUAUGGUUCAGCAAGAUCCAUGUUAUCACUCCCGUCUGGGUCGCCAACCGGGAGACGCCAAUCGCCGGACCCGAUCUGAGAGCAACACAGCUUCAAAUCUCAGAAGAUGGCAACCUUGUCGUCUUAAACAACGCCAUCCAAUCCGUUGUCUGGUCCACCAACAUCACCAAUACUAGAACCAACACCAACAUCUCCAAUACUAGAACCAACACCAGCAACACGAGGGCCAUCCUUUUGGGCAGUGGGAACCUCGUCAUAGAAAGCCUGUCAAGCGAGGUGCUGUGGCAGAGCUUCGACGACCCAACCGACGUCCUGCUCCCAGGCGCCAAGAUCGGCUGGAACAAGGUCACCAGCCUGAACCGUCUCGGCAUCUCGUGGAAGAGCCGGAUUGAUCCGGGCCUCGGCUCCUUCAGCGUGGGACUGGUAACCAAUGGCACAAGGAUGGUGACCGCCAGGCGUCGAGGCUACCCUUCCGAAGUGUACUGGUGGUGGUCGCCUGACGACCACUCGUCGAUGCAGAUCCCAGCAAUCACGAAGCUGCUGCAAAUGAGCCCACAGACCAGCAUGGUCGUCCCAGAAUACGUCAACAACAGGGAGGAGGAGUACUACAUGUACACCUCACCAGAUGAGAUCUCUUCGUUCCUCUUCAUGGACGUGUUUGGUCAGGCCAGGCUGAACGUGUGGUCGCAAGACAACCAGGCAUGGCAUAGCAUCUACGUCAACCCAGCUGAUCCCUGCACCCCAUACGCCGCCUGCGGACCGUUCACUGUCUGCACCGGCAGCUCGCACCCGCCAUGCGAGUGCAUGGAGAGCUUCUCCAGAACGUCGCCUCAGGAUUGGGAGCUCGGUGACCGGACAGAAGGCAAAUGCUCUGUUUGGCAUGGGGAGUUGUUCAGUGUAAACAAGGAUGAUGGCAUCGAGAUCAGCUCUGAAUAUACUCUGUACAUUCGCCUUGCUGCGGGAGAUGUUCCGAGUUCAACAAGAGAUAGUAAAAGAAAACCAGCAGCUCGAGUUGUUAUUGCUGCAAGCGUUAUCGGUUUUGGGUUGCUGAUGAUCAUGCUGCUACUUGUGAUCUUAAGGAACAGAUUCAACUGGUGUGGUAUGUCAUCACCGGCCACCAAUCAAGGUAGUGUUGGAGUUGUUGCCUUUAGAUAUGCCGAUUUGGGCCGUGCUACAAAGAAUUUCUCAGUGAAGCUAGGAGCAGGAGGUUUUGGGACAGUAUUUAAGGGAGUUUUAAGUGAGCUGACUAGUGUAGCAGUGAAAAGGCUUGAAGGUGCACGUCAGGGAGAGAAGCAAUUCAGGGCAGAGGUAAGUGCACUUGGACUGAUCCAGCACAUCAACCUGGUCAAAUUGGUUGGUUUCUGUUGUCAUGGUGAUAAGAGGCUGCUUGUAUAUGAACACGUGUGCAAUGGUUCUCUUGAUUCCCAUCUGUUCCAAAGCAAUGGUACAGUCCUCAACUGGAGCACCAGAUAUCAGAUAGCCAUCGGAGUUGCUAGAGGAUUGUCCUACCUGCACCAGAGUUGCCGCGAAUGCAUCAUCCACUGUGAUAUCAAGCCUGAAAAUGUACUUCUCAAUGAAUCGUUUGUCCCUAAAAUUGCAGACUUUGGGUUGGCAUCGGUCAUAGGAAGGGAUUUUAGCCGGGUUCUAACUACAUUCAGGGGAACUACAGGGUAUCUUGCCCCAGAGUGGCUUAGCGGGGUUGCUAUUACAUCUAAAAUCGAUGUUUACAGCUUUGGCAUGGUACUGAUAGAAAUCAUAUCGGGAAGAAGGAAUGCUUCUGUUGUGCACACUAGCAGCAUCGACCAUGUCGCUUUUUUCCCUGUGCGAGCCAUCAACAAGCUUCAUGAGGGAGAUGUGCAGAGCUUGGUAGAUCCAGAAUUACAUGGUGACUUUAACUUGGAUGAGGUUGAAAGAGUUUGCAAUGUAGCAUGUUGGUGUAUCCAGGAUAAUGAGCUGGAGCGGCCAACAAUGGGUGAAGUGGUCAGAGUUCUUGAGGGUCUAAUGGAGCUUGAUAUGCCUCCAAUGCCAAGACUGCUUGCGGCUAUAACAACAUAA